ensembl:lncRNA
CUGUGUGUCAAGGAAGUAGAGCUCCCUAAAUAUUGAGGCACAAACAGAUCUAAGUGCAUCACAGAAGAAGCAGAAUUCCAGGUUGGGCUAGAGUUUGAGGAUAAAGUGAGUAAGGCAUGUUUCCCCCCGCCCCGCCCCCCUCCGAAAUUAGCUUCCCAUUCAAAUACUGGAAAUGAGGACAUAGUUUAGUCGACAGCACUCCACUUAUUAUUCUGUUACCCUGAUUGGAAGAUUUAAUCUGUGCAAGCUUCAGAUUUACUUAUGAAAUGAGGAAGGAUUUUUCUGUGGGCUAGAGUAGAAACAGCAAAAAUGGUUCCUUUCCUAAACAUUCCUGUAUGGAAAUUCUGAUUACACUUCAUUAUACAUUAGCAAC